AUUGAACGCUGGCGGCAGGCCUAACACAUGCAAGUCGAGCGGAUGAAGGGAGCUUGCUCCUGGAUUCAGCGGCGGACGGGUGAGUAAUGCCUAGGAAUCUGCCUGGUAGUGGGGGAUAACGUCCGGAAACGGGCGCUAAUACCGCAUACGUCCUGAGGGAGAAAGUGGGGGAUCUUCGGACCUCACGCUAUCAGAUGAGCCUAGGUCGGAUUAGCUAGUUGGUGGGGUAAAGGCCUACCAAGGCGACGAUCCGUAACUGGUCUGAGAGGAUGAUCAGUCACACUGGAACUGAGACACGGUCCAGACUCCUACGGGAGGCAGCAGUGGGGAAUAUUGGACAAUGGGCGAAAGCCUGACCCAGCAAGGCGGCGUGUGUGAAGAAGGUCUUCGGAUUGUAAAGCACUUUAAGUUGGGAGGAAGGGCAGUAAGUUAAUACCUUGCUGUUUUGACGUUACCAACAGAAUAAGCACCGGCUAACUUCGUG
rnacentral:rRNA from 1 species